GCAGUUAUAGCUCAGCGGUAGAGUACUUGCCUAGCAUGCACAAGGUCCUGGGUUCAAUCCCCAAUACUUCCA
rnacentral:tRNA from 1 species